UUUGGCAGAAUUGGUAUUCCAAACUGGAAGAGGUUCUCUGUAUUUAAUUUCCUCUCCGGAAGUUUACCUUCAGAAGUCCAAGUGUGAGGUCAAGCCUUGGGUUGCCGGAAAUGGUAAUGUCCUUUACUGUCUGAGCACCCAGACAGCACUUAAUGAAACAUCCUACUUUGUGGACAUUGCUGCUGCUACUUCUGAAUUAUGAGGCUUGCCAUGCAUAACUCCUGCAGUGGAUAGUUUAUUUUUGCAAAGUGCAUGGAAUGAAACUUGUGGGGAUGUAGACUGCAGGCACAGAAAGAUCUAAAUGAAUGUGAAGGACUAUUUACAAAGCCCUAUGGACCAUGUUUGAAGAAGAUGAAAAAGGACACUGGAAUGGGGUUCUGGAAGGUUGUUAACAAUUUUGUUUGAUGACGGAAAAGAGUUUCCUUCCUACUUUCUGGUUUAAAAAGUCUUUCCUUACAAAUUUUGGAGCCAUGGUGAUAAAUAUACUAACCAAAGAGAAACAUAUAUAUAGUCCCAAGCUCAUUAUGUAUCAUGUAAGGUUUUUUUUUCCCCAAUGAAUUUUAUUAUAUUUAUAAUUUUACAACCAUUGUCACAGCCCAAUUUUACGUUUCAAUCCCAAACACACAGCCCAUCCUUCCCCCCACAACUUUUCUCCUUUGGUGACCAUAAAUUUUUCAAAGUCUGUCAGUCA